CCGAUAUAGAUGAUUAAAAAUAACAUAUAUGGGG
rnacentral:sRNA from 1 species